ACUCCUACGGGAGGCAGCAGUGGGGAAUCUUGCGCAAUGGGCGAAAGCCUGACGCAGCGACGCCGCGUGGGCGAAGAAGGCCUUCGGGUUGUAAAGCCCUGUGGGGGAGAACGAACCGUACGGGGGCGAAUACCCUCCGUGCCUGACGGUACUCCUUUAGCAAGCAUCGGCUAACUCUGUGCCAGCAGCCGCGGUAAU
rnacentral:rRNA from 1 species